rnacentral:rRNA from 1 species
AUGAACGGCGCCAUGGGUUCCCGCGGCCGCAUCGACCCCGCGGAAGAGGCGCGCCACCGGCAGGUGAUGGGCGGCCUCGGCGUGUACGACGCCGACUGGGCGCUGGCCAAGGCGCUGGAGCAAUCCGACGUCCAGCCGGGGCAGAACAGGCUGCUCCUCACCAAGGAGCAGGUGCGGGACGGCCCCAUCCCCAAGCUCUUCCCGGAGCUGGAGGAGCUCCGCGGCGACGGCCUGAACGCCGAGCACCGGGUCGCGGUCAAGGUCCUCGACGCCGACGGCCGCGAGAAGGACGCGCAACUCCGCUACCUCAACUCCAACAAGGCGUACCGGGUCAUGGGGUCCGACUGGAGGCGGCUCGUGCAGGAGAGCGGCAUGUGCAAGGGAGACCGCCUCGAUCUGUACGCCUGCAGGCGCGGCGACGGCGACCGCUGCCUCUUCGUGUUCAGGAGCCAGGGCGGUGGCGCCGGCGAUAUGUCCCGGAGCAAUGGUGGAGACGGCCGGGUUCUGCGGCGGGUCACGUCGUCAAUGGCGGCCAUGCUGAUAGAGUGA